AACAAGAGGAGAAAAGAAGGUCAGCAAAAGUAUCCAAACAGGUUCCGAGAUGACAAAUGCACAGCCCAUAGUUGCUCCCUUUAACAGCCCACUGGCUCCCUUCUGGGUCCACAGGCCCACGCUCAGCUAGGAUCUACCUUGGUCCUUAAAUUUGCUGUAGGAUUUGGAUUAAAUCUGGACUCUGCGAGAAGCUGCUGACUGGGGCAUGAGGGAUGGUGCAGGGACUAUGACUACGCUACAGGCUGGAGGAGCACUUUCUCUCCAUUUAAAUCCCCUGUCUCCCAGAACACCCGUUUGAGGAACGCUGCCUUCAGUCAAUAAAAGAUGGGGAACAAACUCAAGGAGAAGGUGCCCAGGGACCUGACAGGGAUAAGGAGAUGCUUGGGGAGCAGGGGGCUGCCAGGGCAGCUCCCCCCUUCUGCUGAGUGGCAGAAGAGCUGCCAGCGGCCCUACUCGUGCCAGCCUUCCCCCCCCAUCAGGGAGAGAAGGUGAAG